UUGGAAUCACCAUGUCCGUCUGUCCGUCCGUCUACGAGAUUUUGUCCGGACCAUUACUCAGAAACUAUUGGAAGGAUUUGUCUGAAUAUUUGUACACAUAUUAUUCACCAUAUGAAGUUGUGCACCUGAUAUUUUCAUCUUGAUUGGAUUAUUAUUUUGAAUUUUACAGGUGUUUUUUCAUUUUUAUUUUGUGGUUUUGUCUGGACCGUUUCUCAGAAACUAUUGCAAGGAUUAAUCUGAAAAUUUGUACACUUAUUAUUCACCAUAUGAAGGUGUGCACCUGGAAUUUUCAACUCUUUUUGUUAAUUUUUUUGCAUUUUACAGGUUUUAUUUUUUAUUUUAAUUGACUUGUUCAUUUUGGGCUCAUGUAUAAGGUUUGAGAUAUAGAAUCUAGAAUAUCUGUUCCAAAAUACUACAGCUUAAAACUACUCAUAAAAACUUAAAAAAAAGAAACAUCAUCAAGUGUUAAAAACAGUUUUUACAUUGCACAGAAGAUAAUGUAAUUUCAUUUGUCUCUUGGGAAUAAUGACUGGACAUGCAUCCAGUUAAAGAUAAAUUAAUGAGUUUGGUGUUGGAAGUUGUUAAGGCAUAUCUCUUAUCAAGCGUGUGUGUUAUCUAAUCUCCAGGGAAUAAGGUACAAGAAUUAAAGAUCUCUCUUCUCUUAUUCUCUUAAUUGUAAUUUAUUGUCUGUCAAAGCACUUCAUUACUGGAUGACCAGCUCUUUAUUUUCAAAAUGCAUUUCAAAUUGAUAUAUCAAGAUUAAUUUGAUUUUGUAUAAUGGUUUUUUUUCAACAAUCAGUUUGCAGAGUGACAUAACACAUAAUUGCAAUAUAUUUUUUUAAUGCAGAAAUAAAAAAAAAAUAAAAUGAAAAAAAAAAAAAAAUGUUACAAUGGAAUUAAAUUGUAUUAGUAUUGAUGUUUCAUUUGGUUGCACCUUUGUUUCAUUCAUUAAGAAACAUGAUGAGCAAUAAUAUUUCACUGCAAAUAUUUGUAAGUAAAUUGUGAACACCUCUAGAUCCAUACAGUAUUUUUGAAUUGGCACCUUCUCUGAAAAACCCAGCGGGGGGUAUUUGUCCCUAUUGGACAGUUCUAGUUGAAAUAACUAAGAUACAUGUCAACUCUAGUACAGCAUGUAAAACAUUCAACUGUAUUUAAGGUUAAAAAAAUGGACUAGGAUAUUUAUACUGUAUACCGGUAACACCCAGGAAAGAAGAUUAAACUUGAUGUCUAAUCAAGUUAGAAAUUAAUAAAUUUACACUGAAUGUAUUACUGUAUUUGCCGAUUGUUUUCUAAUUGUCUUGUCAGUCCAUUUCACAAUGAGGCAAUGUGAUAUUUCUUUUUUUAUGAGCAAAGUUCAGCAUUAAAUAUUCUGUGAUA